AGCAUGUGGUUUAAUUCGAAGCAACGCGAAGAACUUACCAGGUCUUGACAUCCCGAUGCUAUUUCUAGAGAUAGAAGUUACUUCGGUACAUCGGUGACAGGUGGUGCAUGGUUGUCGUCAGCUCGUGUCGUGAGAUGUUGGGUUAAGUCCCGCAACGAGCGCAACCCCUAUUGUUAGUUGCCAUCAUUCAGUUGGGCACUCUAGCGAGACUGCCGGUAAUAAACCGGAGGAAGGUGGGGAUGACGUCAAAUCAUCAUGCCCCUUAUGACCUGGGCUACACACGUGCUACAAUGGUUGGUACAACGAGUUGCGAGUCGGUGACGGCGAGCUAAUCUCUUAAAGCCAAUCUCAGUUCGGAUUGCAGGCUGCAACUCGCCUGCAUGAAGUCGGAAUCGCUAGUAAUCGCAGGUCAGCAAUACUGCGGUGAAUACGUUCCCCGGUCUU
rnacentral:rRNA from 1 species